CAUUUGUUCUUUGCUGGCGUGGGAAGAGCUCGGGUUUUGGAGAAGCAGCGUGGACAUUGGACUGUGACCCUGAACGUUGCCUUCAACUUCUCUGAGGCUCAGCCUCCUCCUCUGAGAUACGUUCCUCACGCAGCUGUUGUGAGUAGAUGAAAUAAUGUAUGUAAAGCUCCACAAGGCUUCGGCAUACAGGAGAGGCUCAAUGCUGCUUGUUGAAUGCAUGAACAGGUGAGGAAACCUUGGUGGAGAAAUCGAGCAGCUUCCCUGAAGUCACACCACUGACAAUCAAUGGAGUCAGCAUUCAAAAGACCCAGCUGAUCAAACGGGAUGCAAUCAAGAAGCCAGCCAAAACCUGAGAGUGGGACUCCAGAGCCGGCCUCACCAACCCCUGAUGGUCUGUUAACUCCUGCCCUGGAGCCGAGCAUGUCCUUUGGUGGGAAACUAUGGAGUGUGGUGGCCAAAGGCACUGGCCAAAGAGCCUAGCUGCCUGGGUUCCUCUUCCAGUUCCUCUUCCUGUGUGGAUGCUUGAGUGCGUUACCCAGCCUUCUGUGCCUCAGUUCCCUCCUCUGUAUCACAUGAAGGUGCAUGGAUGGGACUAGGUGGGACAGGCACUCCCACCCACUCAGAGCUCCCAAGUCCAACUACCUCACGGAAGGCCGCCUUUGUCCUUGGCCCCACACUGGGUCCAGUCUGUCGCAGUGGAGUGCAGGCCUGUGGUACAAUGCAAGGCGACCACAUGUAGUUCCUGCACCAGAGAGAGCCAUGGGAUGGGGGGCUGAGUUAAAAACUCAUAGACCCCUCAUCAACACAGUGGCCAGCACAUGUGCAGCCCUGUGCCAGGGACCCUGGAGCUUACCACCCAUGCUCCUCCAGCCCAUCUGGAGCUCCUGCCCCCAACCCCAGCACCCUAUUUAUCUAUAGCUACUGCACCCUGGAAUGCACCCUAAUACAUUUUCCUGGAUCUCACCUGUGAAUUUCCCCAGUUAGGCUGUGAGUACCCUAAAAGCAAGGACUCUAGUUUCCUCAUCCUCCAUCUUUGAUAAAGGCUGGUCUGGCCGGGCAUGGUGGCUCACGCCUGUAAUCCCAGCACUUUGGGGGCCGAGGCAGGCAGAUCACGAGGUCAGGAGAUCGAGACCAUCCUGGCCAACACGGUGAAACCCCGUCUCUACCAAAAAAAAAAAUACAAAAAAUUAGCCGGGCCUGGUGGCAGGAGCCUGUAGUCCCAGCUACUCAGGAGGCUGAGGCAGGAAAUGGCGUGAACCUAGGAGGCGGAGCUUGCAGUGAGCUGAGAUUGUGCCACUGCACUCCAGCCUGGGUGACACAGCGAGACUCCAUCUCAACAACAACAACAACAAAAAAGGCUGCUCCAGACAUCAGGCCCUCAAAACACACUUGAAAUGGAUGGAAUUGGGUUUGGGGGCUUAGCUACUAUAACUUUGGAGUGGUACGUUAAAUAUUCAUUCUUACUAGAGGUGGAAAAAGGAACAGUAUGGAGGGACUGGAUGUGGACUUGGAUGCAAAUGUAUGCAAACCACUGUGCAAUGAUAUGCAGAUGUGCAUCCUGGAUCUGUGGGAAGGAGUUCUAUGACUUCAGAACCCUGGUUCUGGCGGGCUUUGCUCUCUGAGGGGCUCUGCCCCUGCUGGGGAUCUUGCCAUCUCGCAUGGCAAUGCUGACAGCUGGCUGCCGUGCGGCAUUCUGGCGCCAGUGGAAACCAUUUGGGGAUCCAUGUCAUCUUCUGAUCCUCGGUGAAGCAGCUCCCACCCACCAGGGCAGAUGAGCCAACAGGAGGCUAUAAAGACAGAGGCCUGCAUGAGGAAAGGCUGGCGUGUAGCCAGAGCUGGAGGCUCCUGGGUUCCAGGGACACAGCUCUGGGGGAGCACGGAGCGUGGGACCAGGGAGGAAAGAUCACACUUGGUCUCAUUUCCAGCUCUCUGCUGUGGCCACCACUGGGGAGCCCAUGGCUGCCUGACACUCCUCACCACCACUCCCAGCCCUAGGCCGUGCUGCCCACCAGCCGUCAGCCAGUGCCCUGCAUGGCAGGCAGGCCAUGGUAUCUGGGAGAGCUAAGGGCUUCCUAGCACUGUAGCCACCAUGUAUGGGGCACCCUCUCUGGCCAGGCACCGUGACCAAGCACUUUAACCAUAUUAUAUCACUUAAUCUUUGACAGCCCCACCAGGUAGGCAGUACUCUUACGAUCCUUAUUUUAUGGAUGAAGAAACAGAGGCCAGGGUCAUCCAACCUGCAAAUGGUUGAGCCGGGAUUCAAACCCAAAACUGUUAGACUCCAAAAGUGGCCCUCUCAACUGCCACUUCCUGCCUCCUCUCCCACACCACAAUGGCCACUGUGUACCCGGUUCCCAUGAGGGACAUUUGGGGAGGGGGACAAGUCCAGGGUUGAGAGGGGGAAAGUUCCAGUGUAGUGCUUGGGGUUCCCCGCCCCAUGCAAGGUAAGGUAAGCUGGCAGCCACCUAAUUGAAACACACACCCCCACCACACCCCCGCCACACCCCCCUGCCUCACCUAGAAUGUCCCCCACUCAACUACUGCAGCACCUGGAGUCCUGCCAUUAGAACCUCAUGCUUGUUUUAGAGAAUGCUUUUUCUGUGGGACAAGAGCUGUUGUCUUUAGUCUCCUAUUUUAAAAGACAAAUCCUCUUGGAAGGCAGGAGAGGCUGAGGUCAGCAGGGAGGUCCUAGAGAAAUGUAUGCAAAAGCCAGGAGGGCCCAGAAGGCAAAUUCUGUGAUCAAAUUCAGUGAUGUUAUGGCCCUGGGAUGAGGAUGACAGUGAGGGUGACCCUUGGCACCCUACCUAGGGCACCUGGUACUCUUUCCCACCAGUUGCACAUCAUAUUCCACACCCAGCAGACCCUCAAUCAAUGGCAUUCUAAUUAGUCAUAGCAGGAGGGUAACCCUAAGAGAUGUAGCAGAACUGCAAUUUUCACCCCACUUUAGAGUCCAGGAAACUGAGGCCUAGAGAGGCUGUGAGUAGCUCCAACUUGACAGUGGGUCAGAGAAGAACCAGAUCAGUACUCAGGAGUCCAGAGUUGGUGGUUGGAGGGGGUGGCGUGCAAUGAGAGGCUGGUGGGUGGGGUCAUGCAUGGCAAUGCAACCCUGGAGGCCCCAUCUCCUUCAGAGAAGUCAAGGUGGUGAGGUCAAGGGGAAGGGGAAGGAGGACAGGAGCAGAGAGGUGAUGUGAGGGAAGCAGGGUGGGCUGGCAGGGGCCGAGAACCCCAGUGCCUGGGAAUCUUCAGGGGCUCUGCGAGGCGGCCCAAGGCCGGGGUUCCCACAGCGGCAGGUGGUCACCAAGCGGGCCAGGCCGGACAGGGCUGGCACCGACUCUAGCAGGGGUGGAGGUGCCAGCUCUCACCCGCCAGCCGGCCUGCCAGCUGGGGAAGCUUCAUUAGAAUUCCUCAGCCCUCCAACCCAUUUCCUUCCUGGUGAACAGGACAGCUAAUGGCCCCAGUUGCCUGCUGCCAGGGUGAGGUGGGUCGGGCUGGCAGCUUCAGGCCAGGCUGGGGGUAGCGGUGACCUCUAACAACCCAGGAAGCAUGCCUCUCCCCUGCCCUGGGGGAGGGAGCAGCCCACAGUGUGACCCGAAAUUUCCCCAAGUUAAAGACCAUCUGCCUGUCUGUCUAUCCAUCCCCCCAGGGCCCAGGGGGCUGGUGAGUGUGGACAGACAGACACAGGCUGUGGGAAGCUGCAGUGAUUAAUGAGUGAUGAAAACCAGACUUCGUCAGGAUGGGGGUGGGGACAUAGAAGCAGAGAGAGGUUGUCUGUUUUAUGCUUGGCUCAGCUCUAAGCCCACAGCUCAGGGGAGGAGGGUGGAGGCAGCUGAGGGCAGUACUGGGCCCUGGCCUCAAAAUCCCAGUCCGAGCAUAGGGCCCCAGUUCAUAGACACCCCCCUCAUCCCCCAGUACCUCCUUCAGCCUCUGCCCUGGAAGGUUUCCCUAAGAGGAACUAGCUUUACUCCCAAAUCCCAGGGACUUGCACUGGCCCUCAAAUACCAUCCAUCCCAGAACACCCCAGAAGCCAUGGGGAACAGCAGGGAAAACAGCCUCACCAACCCUCCAAUCUUCUUGUCAUGGGGCCAACGAUUCUGGGGCCCAGAGCCUGAAGGUCCUCUCACCCUUCACCCCGACAAACACAUGACCACUCCCACAUUCCCAAACUCUGCCCCCAGGACCUGCUGAAGUCAAGCAGAUUUUUCUCAAAUGUCAAGGACAGCAAAAGCUACUUCUAAGAGGAUUCAGCUCAAACCUCCAAACCUGCAAAUAGACAGUCAGGAUAAACCCAAGCAGGAGAGAGGCUUGCACAACCACUGCUUUUGGUCCCCACCCGACAGACACCUUGAGGGACCUUGGCAACAUCCUCCUCCCCUGCCCGAAAAUAUUCCCACACUGGCCCAUCUGCUCCAGGGCCUUGGAUUCCACCAUUCAACCCUGACCUCCCUUUGCAAUACUGAACUCGAAGACUCUUGCCGAGGUUUCAAGUGUGUCCCCGCUCCCAGGGCCUGGGAUCUGGCCAGGGAGGGCUGGAAAGAAGGAAAUGCGCCACAGAUGGAGGAAGUAGCUUCGGCAAGGUGAAGCACAAAGGCAAACUUUGCUGACAGAAGACUCUUGCUGCUGGCCAACCAGGCCUGCCUGUCAUGAGAAUCAAAAUUGUUUUCUUUUGUCGAAAAAAUAUUUCCAAGGUAGUUCUUGUGUUGUGCUCAGGCACGUGGGUAAGGAAGCAAUAGUGAGUGCUUCCUUCUUGCCUGCCAGGGACCUUGUGCAUAUCUGUUGGCUCAUUGCAUCUUAGAAACUCCUGAAGAAACUGAGGCUUGGGGAGGUUGCCUGCCCCCACGCACCCCUCAGGGACUAAGUGACAGAGCUGAGAUCCCCAGUCGGCCAGACACAAAGCCCUCCUACUUUCUGAAGCCCCACCCUGCUGGGGAGGGAGAACUGGACGCCAUCUGGGAAGAAUUAAGGAGGUUUUUAGAAAAGGCCUCUGCAGGAAUGAGAAAACCUUCAUUAGGGCUUUUUAAUCAAUAAAGCAGGAACAAAACCUCCCUCCCUGCAAACAUUUCUGGACUCCUAGGAGAUGCCCAACUGUGCCCAACAAAUGAUUCAGAAAACGAGUAUAAAAUUCAAAAAAUCCCCA